GAUGAACGCUGGCGGCGUGCCUAAUACAUGCAAGUCGAGCGAACAGACGAGGAGCUUGCUCCUCUGACGUUAGCGGCGGACGGGUGAGUAACACGUGGAUAACCUACCUAUCAGACUGGGAUAACUUCGGGAAACCGGAGCUAAUACCGGAUAAUAUAUUGAACCGCAUGGUUCAAUAGUGAAAGACGGUUUUGCUGUCACUUAUAGAUGGAUCCGCGCCGCAUUAGCUAGUUGGUAAGGUAACGGCUUAUCAAGGCAACGAUGCGUAGCCGACGUGAGAGGGUGAUCGGCCACACUGGAACUGAGACACGGUCCAGACUCCUACGGGAGGCAGCAGUAGGGAAUCUUCCGCAAUGGGCGAAAGCCUGACGGAGCAACGCCGCGUGAGUGAUGAAGGUCUUCGGAUCGUAAAACUCUGUUAUUAGGGAAGAACAAAUGUGUAAGUAACUAUGCACGUCUUGACGGUACCUAAUCAGAAAGCCACGGCUAACUACGUG
rnacentral:rRNA from 1 species